rnacentral:rRNA from 1 species
UACGGGGGGGGCAAGCGUUGUUCGGAAUUACUGGGCGUAAAGGGUUCGUAGGUGGCCGACUAAGUCAGACGUGAAAUCCCUCAGCUCAACUGGGGAACUGCGUCUGAUACUGGUUGGCUUGAGUGCAGGAGAGGAACGCGGAAUUCCAGGUGUAGCGGUGAAAUGCGUAGAUAUCUGGAGGAACACCGGUGGCGAAGGCGGCGUUCUGGACUGCAACUGACACUGAGGAACGAAAGCCAGGGGAGCAAACGGG